CAGUGGCUGAGGGGAACCAGGGCCCACCCUGGCUUAUAGCCAUUGAUGGACCUAUUCUCCACGAAGUUACCUAGUUCUUUUUCGAACCCUGUUAUCGUCUUGGCUUUCACAACAUCCUCUGGCAAGGAGUUCCACAGGUUGACUGUGUGUUGUAUGAAAAAAUACUUCCUUUUCUUUGUUUUAAA